GAUACUGGCUCAGGAUGAACGCUAGCUACAGGCUUAACACAUGCAAGUCGAGGGGCAGCAUGAACUUAGCUUGCUAAGUUUGAUGGNGACCGGCGCACGGGUGAGUAACACGUAUCCAACCUUCCGUUUACUCAGGGAUAGCCUUUCGAAAGAAAGAUUAAUACCUGAUAGUAUGGUGAGAUUGCAUGAUAACACCAUUAAAGAUUUAUUGGUAAACGAUGGGGAUGCGUUCCAUUAGGUAG
rnacentral:rRNA from 1 species